rnacentral:lncRNA from 1 species
AUUCUUCUCUCGUCCGAGAAGAUACGUAUGCAUAGGAUGCGAUAUCCUAGCGAGCAUGUGUCGUUUCCCCAGUCCGAACUACUUCGACUCUGAUGUCUAUGCCUGAUAGACUAAGUAGGCCCAGGAUACGAUAUCCUGCCGAGUCAGUUUCAGUCAGUUUCUUUUGUCUCUUUUCAGCCAGUGUGUGUGUGUUUGAGCAGUGUUUAG